rnacentral:rRNA from 1 species
UACGGAGGGUGCGAGCGUUGUCCGGAAUCAUUGGGCGUAAAGAGCUCGUAGGCGGUGUGUCGCGUCGGCCGUGAAAACCUGGGGCUCAACUCUGGGCGUGCGGUCGAUACGGGCAUCACUUGAGUUCGGCAGGGGAGACUGGAAUUCCUGGUGUAGCGGUGAAAUGCGCAGAUAUCAGGAGGAACACCGGUGGCGAAGGCGGGUCUCUGGGCCGAUACUGACGCUGAGGAGCGAAAGCAUGGGUAGCGAACAGG